rnacentral:rRNA from 1 species
CCUACGUGGGGCAGCAGUGGGGAAUAUUGGACAAUGGGCGAAAGCCUGAUCCAGCCAUGCCGCGUGUGUGAAGAAGGCCUUCGGGUUGUAAAGCACUUUCAGUGGGGAAGAAAGCCUUGGGGCUAAUACCCUCGAGGAAGGACAUCACCCACAGAAGAAGCACCGGCUAACUCCGUGCCAGCAGCCGAGGUAAUACGGAGGGUGCGAGCGUUAAUCGGAAUUACUGGGCGUAAAGCGCGCGUAGGCGGUCUGAUAAGCCGGUUGUGAAAGCCCCGGGCUCAACCUGGGAACGGCAUCCGGAACUGUCAGGCUAGAGUGCAGGAGAGGAAGGUAGAAUUCCCGGUGUAGCGGUGAAAUGCGUAGAGAUCGGGAGGAAUACCAGUGGCGAAGGCGGCCUUCUGGACUGACACUGACGCUGAGGUGCGAAAGCGUGGGUAGCAAACAGGAUUAGAUACCCGGGUAGUC